GACGAACGCUGGCGGCGUGCUUAACACAUGCAAGUCGAACGGUAAGGCCCUUCGGGGUACACGAGUGGCGAACGGGUGAGUAACACGUGGGUGAUCUGCCCUGCACUUCGGGAUAAGCCUGGGAAACUGGGUCUAAUACCGGAUAGGACUCCUGGCUUCAUGGUUGGGGGUGGCAAGCUUUUGCGGUGUGGGAUGGGCCCGCGGCGUAUCAGCUUGUUGGUGGGGUAAUGGCCUACCAAGGCGACGACGGGUAGCCGGCCUGAGAGGGUGACCGGUCACACUGGGACUGAGAUACGGCCCAGACUCCUACGGGAGGCAGCAGUGGGGAAUAUUGCACAAUGGGCGCAAGCCUGAUGCAGCGACGCCGCGUGAGGGAUGACGGCCUUCGGGUUGUAAACCUCUUUCAGCUAUGACGAAGCGCAAGUGACGGUAGUAGCAGAAGAAGGACCGGCCAACUACGUGCCAGCCGCCGCCUAAA
rnacentral:rRNA from 1 species